rnacentral:misc_RNA from 1 species
AGAACAUACAGAAAUAACUAGAUUCAAGCUUGACCAAUAAUAGUGCGAUCUUUUACAGGAAAUAUGCACACAAAAAAAAUUCACACAUAUAUCAUUUGACUAUUCAGAAUCAAGAACCAUAAACACAACAGAAACUUAAAGUAAUAAAUAUUAGGAUAAACCAAAGAAGCACUUAAAAUGUACAGUAAAUCUUGGUUCAACUUUGAAAGUGAACUUAAGGGAAUUGAUAAAAAUAAAAAAUAAAAACUGUUUGUAGAUGCUUGAGCUUUAGCCUUUAGUUAAGAUUAGG